rnacentral:rRNA from 1 species
AAUAUUGGACAAUGGGCGAAAGCCUGAUCCAGCCAUGCCGCGUGGGUGAAGAAGGUCUUCGGAUGGUAAAGCACUUUAAGUUGGGAGGAAGGGUUGUAGGUUAAUUCCCUGCACUUUUGACGUUACCAACAGAAUAAGCACCGGCUAACUUCGUGCCAGCAGCUCCGGUAAUACGAAGGGUGCAAGCGUGAGUCGGAAGUACUGGGCGUAAAACGCGCGGAGGUGGUUCGUUAAGUUGGAAGUGGAAGCACCGGGCUUAACCUGGGAAUUGCUUUCAAAACUGACGAGCUAGAGUACGGUAGAGGGUAGUGGAAUUUCCUGUGUAGCGGUGGAAUGCGUAGAUAUAGGAAGGAACAUCAGUGGCGAAGGCGACUACCUGGACUGAUACUGACACUGAGGUGCGAAAGCGUGGGGAGCAAACAG